rnacentral:rRNA from 1 species
UGAAUACGAGACGCUAAGGCGUCGAAGUAGUGUAUGUCAUACUUCCAAGAAAAGCUUGCACUGUCAUAGAUAAAAAACGCCUGUACCAUAACCGACACAGGUGGGUAGGUAGAGUAUACUAAGGGGCGCGAGAUAACUCUCUCUAAGGAACUCGGCAAAAUAACUCCGUAACUUCGGGAGAAGGAGUGCCUUAUUCGUAAGGUUGCAAUAACAAGAUCCAAGCAACUGUUUAUCAAAAACACAGGUCUCCGCUAAGUCGUAAGACGAUGUAUGGGGGCUGACGCCUGCCCAGUGCCAGAAGGUUAAAGAAGUUGGUUAGCAAUUGCGAAGCUGAUAACUGAAGCCCUGGUGAACGGCGGCCGUAACUAUAACGGUCCUAAGGUAGCGAAAUUCCUUAUCGGGUAAGUUCCGACCCGCACGAAAGGCGUAAUGAUUUGGAUACUGUCUCGGAGAGGGGCUCGGUGAAAUAGACUUGUCUGUGAAGAUGCGGACUACCUGCACCAGGACAGAAAGACCCUAUGAAGCUUUACUGUAACUUGAAAUUGAAAUUGGACUUUAUUCGCGCAGUAUAGGUGGGAGGCGUUGAUUAUAAUCUUGUGGGAUUAUUGGAGCCAUCAGUGAGAUACCACUCUUGUAAUGUUAGAUUUCUAACUUUGAAUCAUUAUCUGGUCAAAGAACAGUUUCAGGCGGGCAGUUUGACUGGGGCGGUCGCCUCCUAAACGGUAACGGAGGCGUACAAAGGUUUCCUCUGAACGGUUAGAAAUCGUAUCUAGAGUGUAAGGGCAUAAGGAAGCUUGACUGUGAGACCUACAAGUCGAGCAGGGACGAAAGUCGGUCUUAGUGAUCUGACGGUACUGAGUGGAAAGGCCGUCACUCAACGGAUAAAAGUUACUCUAAGGAUAACAGGCUGAUCUCCCCCAAGAGUUCACAUCGACGGGGAGGUUUGGCACCUCGAUGUCGGCUCAUCGCAUCCUGGGGCGGUAGUACGUCCCAAGGGUUGGGCUGUUCGCCCAUGAAAGCGGUACGCGAGCUGGGUUCAGAACGUCGUGAGACAGUUCGGUCCAUAUCCGGUGUAGGCGUUAGAAUAUUGAGAGGAGCCUUCUUUAGUACGAGAGGACCGAGAAGGACAUACCUCUGGUGUACCAGUUAUCGUGCCAACGGUAAACGCUGGGUAGCUAUGUAUGGAGUGGAUAACCGCUGAAAGCAUCUAAGUGGGAAGCCCACCUCAAGAUAAGUAUUCUCAUC